CAAUUCACCUGUCUCAGCCUCCUGAGUAGCUGGGACUACAGAUAUUAAUCAUCUUUAGGAUUAGAACCUAAAGCGUAAGUCUAAUUGUGCCCAGAAUUGCUUCCUUCCAGUGGGUUCCUGGUCUCGUUGACUUCAAGAAUGAAGCUGCAGACCCUCACAAUAUUACUCUAGGAAAAUUUACAACCUGAAGCAAGGAGAAAUAAGAUUUCUCUUCUAAAUGCUGAAUUUGAAAGGCUUCAUUGGUAUUGCAUUGGAUCCAUAAAUUAGUUGGAAAAAACUGCCACCUUUAACAGUUCUGAGCCUUCCAAUCCAUGAGCAUGUUGCAGAGGAUGAGAAGUUCAAAAUCAAGGCACUGGCUGGAGUGCAGUGGCAGGAUCUCGGCUCACUGUGACCUCCGCCUCCCAGGUGAUCUGCCUGCCUUGGCCUCCCAAGGUUUUGAGAUUACAGAAGUAAGCCACCGCUCCUGGUGUGAAUGAAAACUUAUCUCACUAUCUCAAGUGAAUAAAACCAACUUUUGAUUAAUGACAACUUU
rnacentral:lncRNA from 1 species